GACGAACGCUGGCGGCGUGCCUAAUACAUGCAAGUCGAACGAGAGCAACCGGUGCUUGCACUGGUCAAUCUAGUGGCGAACGGGUGAGUAACACGUGGGUAACCUGCCCAUCAGAGGGGGAUAACAUCCGGAAACGGAUGCUAAAACCGCAUAGGUCUUCGAACCGCAUGGUUUGAAGAGGAAAAGAGGCGCAAGCUUCUGCUGAUGGAUGGACCCGCGGUGCAUUAGCUAGUUGGUGAGGUAACGGCUCACCAAGGCCGUGAUGCAUAGCCGACCUGAGGGGGUGAUCGGCCACAUUGGGACUGAGACACGGCCCAAACUCCUACGGGAGGCAGCAGUAGGGAAUCUUCCGCAAUGGACGCAAGUCUGACGGAGCAACGCCGCGUGAGUGAAGAAGGUUUUCGGAUCGUAAAACUCUGUUGUUAGAGAAGAACAAGUGCUAGAGUAACUGUUAGCGCCUUGACGGUAUCUAACCAGAAAGCCACGGCUAACUACGUG
rnacentral:rRNA from 1 species